ensembl:lncRNA GBA1LP glucosylceramidase beta 1 like, pseudogene
AGUCCCGCCCACGCGCCUUUGGAGGCUGCGGUGGGAUUUCCUUUUGCCUUCGGUUGGGGCUGCUGUUUCUCUUCGCCGACGGUGCCUUCAGCCGCUACAAGAGCAGAAGCAGUGGGCAUUGGAUGGAGCUGAGUACAGGACCAUACAGGCUAAUUGCACCGGCACAGGAAUCGGAUAUAACAUCAUCUGGGUACCCAUGGCCAGCUGUGACUUCUCCAUCCGCACCUACACCUAUGCAGACACCCCUGAUGAUUUCCAGUUGCACAACUUCAGCCUCCCAGAGGAAGAUACCAAGCUCAAGGUUCCUGGAUGCCUAUGCUGAGCACAAGUUACAGUUCUGGGCAGUGACAGCUGAAAAUGAGCCUUCUGCUGGGCUGUUGAGUGGAUACCCCUUCCAGUGCCUGGGCUUCACCCCUGAACAUCAGCGAGACUUCAUUGCCCGUGACCUAGGUCCUACCCUUGCCAACGGUACUCACCACAAUGUCCGCCUACUCAUGCUGGAUGACCAACGCUUGCUGCUGCCCCACUGGGCAAAGGUGGUACUGACAGACCCAGAAGCAGCUAAGUAUGUUCAUGGUAUUGCUGUACAUUGGUACCUGGACUUUCUGGCUCCAGCCAAAGCCACCCUAAGGGAGACACACCACCUGUUCCCCAACACCAUGCUCUUUGCCUCAGAGGCCUGUGUGGGUUCCAAGUUCUGGGAGCAGAGUGUGCGGCUAGGCUCCUGGGAUCGAGGGAUGCAGUACAGCCACAGCAUCAUCACAAACCUCCUGUACCAUGUGGUCGGCUGGACCGACUGGAACCCAUCAUUGUAGACAUCACCAAGCACACGUUUUACAAACAGCCCAUGUUCUACCACCUUGGCCACUUCAGCAAGUUCAUUCCUGAGGGCUCCCAGAGAGUGGGGCUGGUUGCCAGUCAGAAGAACGACCCGGACGCAGUGGCACUGAUGCAUCCCGAUGGCUCUGCUGUUGUGGUCGUGCUAAACCGCUCCUCUAAGGAUGUGCCUCUUACCAUCAAGGAUCCUGCUGUGGGCUUCCUGGAGACAAUCUCACCUGGCUACUCCAUUCACACCUACCUGUGGCGUCGCCAGUGAUGGAGCAGAUACUCAAGGAGGCACUGGGCUCAGCCUGGGCAUUAAAGGGACAGAGUCAGCUCA